UUUAAUAUUUGUAUUAGUAGUAAUAAUAAUAAAUUACGGAUUGCACCCGACAAAACAUUAGAGAAGAAGAAGAAGCUUACGUCAUUCGACGCGACACUUUCCACGGUCGGAGCUGAUCCGGAUCACAUACACAGGAGUCACUCAUUGAAGAUGAAUCACAUGGUUAGGCUGGACAGGGAUCUUCGAAUAAUUGAGAGACACCAUGGUGUAAAACGAAGGUGGCUCCCUUCGGAUGGCAUUUUCCAGAGAACACUGAGAGAUGUUGACCAGGAACUUAGAGGUCAGCUGAUACGACGAGCACAAAAUGAAGCAAGGGAGAGGGCCACUCUUCUCAACCUGAAAAGAAGAUGUAAUGGUAACACUACUUCUUCUCUUGACUGUAUGGUCAUUAGCAAAAUUGAAGCUCAAAGGUCUUGUGGUAAACCUAAAUUUAAUCUUUAUGUUAUCCCUGCACCAUGCAUAUGUUCACUCUAGGUACUUAAGGCAAGGCAAGGCAACUUUAUUUAUAUAGCACCUUUCAGCCAAGGACAAUUCAAAGUGCUUGUACAAAACAAGUUAAAAACAA